rnacentral:lncRNA from 1 species
CUCGUUUUAAAGCAAUUGGAAAAGAAAAUAAUCAAUUGGCUAUUACAUUGAGUUUGUGGACAAAAUCUUGCGGAAUAAAAGAUGGAGGAUCAAAAUUGAGGAGAAAAUGAAGAGAAGGACUAACUUGCAUUACACGAAAGAAUUGAGUACACAAAACUUAUUGGACUUGGGCUUCUAAUUUGUAUAUAGAAUAAGGGCUUUAUUGUUGAGGUAUAUGUACACUUGCAGCCGAGAAAAGCGGGGGAGUAGACAAAAUUCAUAAACACAUAAACAGAAAAUGACGAGGAGGAGGCUGCCGUGGGAGAGAAUUGAAAUCCCUUCUGGGGAUUAAAUAUACAGCAAGCCGAGGCUGGUGGGCGGAAGAAAACAUAAUAUAUAGACAGGGAGAAAAUCGGCAGCUUUGGGGGAAUUAAAAGGAAUAGAAAGCAAGCUGGUUUUGGACUCUUUAAUUGGCAGAUUUAGUGGCAGAAAAAAAAGAGAAUUGCUGGGGCUGAAUUGAGUAUAUUCCAUGGCAGAAAGUCGGCUACAGCUUGGGGUCGAAUUGGAAUUAAAGAGACAUUGGACGGUUGUACUUAAAUAUAUAUACACAGAGCCCGAGCCAAGCAGAUUAGGACCUGGGAAUUGAGUGCUGAAUUACUAAAAUAAAUCAGCUGUUGGGAAUUAAUUGUUGGGUUGAAAAGUGAUUUGAAUUAUAUAUUUGUAUAUCCACCAGAAGCCGAAGCAAGGAAGAGAAUUGGAGUCCCUUUUCUUUAGUCAAAUUGCGCGGUUGCAAGGUGGAAUUAUAUUGCUACAUUCACAGAGAACCGAGGCACAGCAAGGUUGGAAAUUAGAAUUAUAUACACGCAGCUGGAGAGACAUUCACGAGACGGUGAAAGACGGCACACGCAAUUGGAAUAAAUCACGUUCCGUCAAUUAUUGGUGAUGUCGUUCCACUUCUCUUUGUUUAAUUUUAAUAUUAUGCUCGGCUAGAUUAUUU